UACCAGCACCCCGAGUGGUCGGGACGAUUAUUGGGCCUAAAGCAUCCGUAGCCGGUUUUACAAGUCCCCCGUUAAAUCCAGCUGCUUAACAGAUGGGCUGCGGAGGAUACUAUAAGACUAGGAGGCAGGAGAGGCAAGCGGUACUCAGUGGGUAGGGGUAAAAUGCGCAGAUAUCAGGAGGAACACCGGUGGCGAAGGCGGGUCUCUGGGCCGAUACUGACGCUGAGGAGCGAAAGCGUGGGGAGCGACCAGG
rnacentral:rRNA from 1 species